CUCUCACAGACUUCUAAAAGGCUUUUCUUUGCUCAGCUUCUACAGAUGCACAAGUUUGUUUAACGUCAGGAGUCAUCCUGCUUGAAUUCAGGUAGAGGCAUCUAGCAAGAGGAAAAGUUCAGAAAGACAAAAGGCUGAUGAAUACAAAAGAAAAAGGCAUGUGCAUCAGAGUUCCUGAAUCACUGAAAAACUUACAAUGCAUAAGCAGACCCAGCUGCAAUAGUUUACGAAGACUCUCACUGAAGCAUAUAAUUAGAGGUUACACAAGGGCAGGUAACAUUUUAGAAACAGACUUUUUCUAUCACUUGCGAACCCACCAGACCAGUUUCCUUUGCUGCUGACACCACUUUUUGUGCAUGACAAAAAUGCAGAAUUCUUACAGCACUGGAGCAAGGGAGAGGAAGGCUGCUUCUUCCGAUGAAGGCAAUUUGGGAGCUAGCUACUCGCCUCCUCCCGAGUGAAAGAGAAAAGAAGAUUGUGCCAGUGGCAUCCCAAUGAAAAGGCAUAAUGACAAUGAGCUGGCACUGGGUAGAGCAGAGCUUGUUCCCUGGCACUGUUGCAUCUCAUCAAUCGCAUGCAUUUAAAACUCACACAUUAAACUAGAUGGACAAAGAUGAGGGGCCUGUAUAAAUCCCUCGGAGACUACGUGGAAGUGGGAAUGCCAGGGGAGAAAUUCUACUUCCUUUCUGAGUUUUUAAAAUAAUACCUGCCUUAAGUGACAGAAAUUGCAAGCGUAUCAGAACUAGACACUCAGGGUGAGAUUUCACAUGAUGCCUGCCCUGAUCUAACGCAAAUCUGUCAUUCUUUUUUGCUACAUAUUUUUCUGCUGGAUUAGUGAGCUAAACUGUCUUCAGGGUAGUGAAAAGAGUGGAGCAGAGGAGGAAGAAGAAAGGCAUCACCCCGUUUGGUUGGCAGCAAGUGAUUUGGUCUGUGAAAUGUCACUCCCAGCUCCAGAGCUGGGGAAAGGAUGAAGAAGCAGUGUCUAGGAGCAUACACACUUGCAGUGAGGAAGAAUCGAUGCUCUUCUGAAGAAUUUUGUGAAGUCUUCUGUGGAGAAGAGAAAAAAAGA